AUUGAACGCUGGCGGCAGGCCUAACACAUGCAAGUCGAACGAGUGGCGGACGGGUGAGUAAUGUCUGGGAAACUGCCCGAUGGAGGGGGAUAACUACUGGAAACGGUAGCUAAUACCGCAUACCAUCGGAUGUGCCCAGAUGGGAUUAGCUAGUAGGUGGGGUAACGGCUCACCUAGGCGACGAUCCCUAGCUGGUCUGAGAGGAUGACCAGCGAAACUGGAACUGAGACACGGGCCAGACUCCUACGGGAGGCAGAAGUGGGGAAUAGUGCACAAUGGGCGCAAGCCUGAUGCAGAGAGGUCGCGUGUAUGAUGAAGGCCUUCGGGUUGUAAAGUACUUUCAGCGAGGAGGCGUUACUCGCAGAAGAAGCACCGGCUAACUCCGUGCCAGCAGCCGCGGUAAUUA
rnacentral:rRNA from 1 species